UAGCUCAGUUGGUAGAGCAUGGCGCCAGGGUUGUGGGUUCGAUUCCCAC
rnacentral:tRNA from 1 species